UACGAAGGGGGCUAGCGUUGCUCGGAAUCACUGGGCGUAAAGCGCACGUAGGCGGAUUUUUAAGUCAGGGGUGAAAUCCUGGAGCUCAACUCCAGAACUGCCUUUGAUACUGGGAAUCUCGAGUCCGGGAGAGGUGAGUGGAACUGCGAGUGUAGAGGUGAAAUUCGUAGAUAUUCGGAGGAACACCAGUGGCGAAGGCGGCUCACUGGCUCGGUACUGACGCUGAGGUGCGAAAGCGUGGGGAGCAAACAGG
rnacentral:rRNA from 1 species